AUUGAACGCUGGCGGAAUGCUUUACACAUGCAAGUCGAACGGCAGCACGGGGGCAACCCUGGUGGCGAGUGGCGAACGGGUGAGUAAUACAUCGGAACGUGCCCAGUCGUGGGGGAUAACGUAGCGAAAGUUACGCUAAUACCGCAUACGAUCUACGGAUGAAAGCGGGGGACCGUAAGGCCUCGCGCGAUUGGAGCGGCCGAUGUCAGAUUAGGUAGUUGGUGAGGUAAAGGCUCACCAAGCCGACGAUCUGUAGCUGGUCUGAGAGGACGACCAGCCGCACGGGGGCGGAGACGCGGCCCAGACUCCUACGGGAGGCAGCAGUGGGGAAUUUUGGACAAUGGGCGCAAGCCUGAUCCAGCCAUUCCGCGUGCAGGACGAAGGCCUUCGGGUUGUAAACUGCUUUUGUACGGAACGAAAAGGCUCUGGUUAAUACCUGGGGCUCAUGACGGUACCGUAAGAAUAAGCACCGGCUAACUACGUGCCAGCCGCCGCCGUAA
rnacentral:rRNA from 1 species